AUGCAAGUUGAGAAAAUGCAUGUACUUAUUUUCUUGGAAAUGGAGGCACACGUACACGAGCUGGUAAGGGUUCCAGAGUAUCUUGUACUCGUGGAAGUCGGCUGCCGGGUCGAACCACAGGUUGAGCCUCUGCUCCCUGUCGCCGUCGCCGUUGACGAAGACGUUGGUCUGGAGGGUGAUGUUCUCGCCGUCCACGUUGCCCAGGAACUCGAAGUCCACCUCGUCGCGGUCACCGCCAUCAUAAGGUGCUUCCGACGCCAGCUGCAUGCAUCCAUGCAACUUAAAAUCAUAGCUGUAGCUCUGCCGCCAUGA
rnacentral:rRNA from 1 species